rnacentral:rRNA from 1 species
GGAGUUUGGGCCGUGUCUCAGUCCCAAUGUGGCCGUUCACCCUCUCAGGCCGGCUACUGAUCGUCGCCUUGGUGGGCCGUUACCUCACCAACUAGCUAAUCAGACGCGGGUCCAUCUUACACCACCGGAGUUUUUCACACUGUAUCAUGCGAUACUGUGCGCUUAUGCGGUAUUAGCAGUCAUUUCUAACUGUUAUCCCCCUGUGUAAGGCAGGUUACCCACGCGUUACUCACCCGUCCGCCACUAAGUUAUCUCAAGAAUUGAGCAAGCUCGCCUCAGCGAGAUAACUUCGUUCGACUUGCAUGUAUUAAGCACGCCGCCAGCGUUCAUC